rnacentral:rRNA from 1 species
CUGGUUGAUCCUGCCAGUAGUCAUAUGCUUGUCUUAAAGAUUAAUCCAUGCAUGUGUAAGUAUAAGUAUUGUACAGCGAAACUGCGAAUGGCUCAUUACAUCAGUUAUAAUUUAUUUGAUAAUCGAAAGUUACAUGGAUAACCGUGACAAAUUACAGCUAAUACAUGCAGUCAGACCUGGUCCAAGGGUCGUAAUUAUUAGUAUUAAACCAUUUCCGAAAGGAGUGUGAUGAAUCAUAAUAAUCGAACGAAUCGCCUGGUGUGCGAUAAAUCAUUCAAGUUUCUGCCCUAUCAGCUUUGGAUGGUAGUGUAUUGGACUACCAUGGCAGUCACGGGUAACGGAGAAUUAGGGUUCGAUUCCGGAGAGGGAGCCUGAGAAACGGCUACCACAUCUACGGAAGGCAGCAGGAGCGAAAAUUGCCCAAUCCCGACACGGGGAGGCAGUGACGAGAAAUAACAACUCUUGGUUAUUCUAAGAAGUGUAAUGAGGAUAAUUUAUAUAAUCACGGCUUACCGAAAGCAAUUGGAGGGCAAGUCUGGUGCCA